UACGAAGGGGGCUAGCGUUGCUCGGAAUCACUGGGCGUAAAGCGCACGUAGGCGGCUUUCUACGUCAGGGGUGAAAUCCUGGAGCUCAACUCCAGAACUGCCUUUGAUACUGGAGAGCUCGAGUCCGGAAGAGGUGAGUGGAACUGCGAGUGUAGAGGUGAAAUUCGUAGAUAUUCGCAAGAACACCAGUGGCGAAGGCGGCUCACUGGUCCGGUACUGACGCUGAGGUGCGAAAGCGUGGGGAGCAAACAGG
rnacentral:rRNA from 1 species